rnacentral:rRNA from 1 species
UACGAAGGGUGCAAGCGUUAAUCGGAAUUACUGGGCGUAAAGCGUGCGUAGGCGGUCUUUUAAGUCUGCUGUGAAAUCCCCGGGCUCAACCUGGGAAUGGCAGUGGAUACUGGGAGGCUAGAGUGUGUCAGAGGAUGGUGGAAUUCCCGGUGUAGCGGUGAAAUGCGUAGAGAUCGGGAGGAACAUCAGUGGCGAAGGCGGCCAUCUGGGACAACACUGACGCUGAAGCACGAAAGCGCGGGGAGCAAACAGG